GAAUGCAGCUCAUACAUCAUGAAUGAGCAUGAUCAACCGGGAGAUUGGAAUAUCUUAGAGAAACGCUCUUUUCAUUGUGCGUCACUUAGACGGAGGGAGCGGGGGGCAUUGACUUGGCAAAGCCUUUUUUAGGCUUUUGGCAAAGCUAUUCUUGGCCCUGGAUAACCUGAUUACCUGAAGCCCUGAACCCUGGUCUCUGUAUAGUGAACUGAGUUCGGCGUGUUUCAGGCGUCCAGCCUCUAUCGUUCAUCCAGGUCCUCUCUCAUCGGACGGCUCACGGGUGAACACGAUCCCCUGAUAACUUCCAUCCAGUCCGCUCGAGAUAACCGGUUUUUCUAAUCGUUCGUUGGCUACGUCCCUAUCCGCAUCCGGUAGCCACCCCGCAGGCCGCGGCGACAAGAUCAAAGGAUGCUCUCGUUGCGGCCGCCUUGUACUCUGUCGCCCGCACCGUGGCGGAGACGGCGCACCCUCCACGGAGCCGCGGGGACCCCGCAGCGCGUCAGCGUGGCGGCGCCUUCCGCCAUCGUAGAGGCCGUUUCGCCGCCGGCGAGGUUCUCUUUCCCGAUACUGGUGAAUGGAUGCACUGGUAAAAUGGGGUUAUCUGUGGCUGAGGCAGUCACUUCAAGUGGUCUUCACCUAGUUCCUAUUUCAUUCAGUAGUAGAGAUACGCUAGACAGAACAGUACGGGUUGGUCAUACGGAUGUUCGGAUAUAUGGUCCUUCUGCAAGAGAAGAUGUUCUAUCAUCUGUUAUUGAUGAAUUCCCAGAUGUUGUUGUUGUGGACUACACAGCACCUGACUCUGUGAAUGCUAAUGCUGAGCUCUAUUGCAAGCUCGGUUUGCCAUUUGUUAUGGGCACAACUGGUGGAGAUAGGCAGUUACUCUAUAAAUCAGUUCAAGAUUCAAAUAACUAUGCACUGAUAUCUCCACAGAUGGGAAAACAGGUUGUUGCAUUUCUUGCUGCAAUGGAAAUUAUGGCUGAGCAAUUUCCUGGGGCCUUUUCAGGCUAUCAUUUGGAGGUUUUGGAAUCCCAUCAAGCUGGCAAGCUGGACAUAUCUGGUACAGCUAAAGCUGUAAUUGCGUGUUUUGAGAAGUUAGGUGUGUCAUAUGACAUGAACCGGAUGGUUAAGAUUAGGGAUCCUGAGCAGCAGCUUGAGAUGGUGGGUGUCCCUGAAGAACAUAUUGAAGGGCAUGCAUUCCAUCUGUACCAUCUCACUUCUCCCGAUGACAGUGUUUCAUUUGAAUUCCAGCACAAUGUCUGUGGCCGUUCAAUAUAUGCUGAAGGAUCUGUUGAUGCCGCAAUGUUUCUGCAUAGGAAGGUACGCUCCAAUGAUUCCAAAAGAAUUUACGAUAUGAUUGAUGUCUUGAGAGAAGGCAGCAUGCGGUGAAGUUGAUGAAGUCCGCAUGAACAAUAUGUUUAGUCUGGGAGGACUAUUGGACUAUAGCAUGAUCAUCUGAUGAAAUUAGUAAGUAGCUAUCUCAUAGUGGAGAAGAUGAUGUUCCAGUCAAACUUUCCCAGUGAACAGUUUGAAGCAACCCAUUGCAGUAAAGUUUCUUCUAGAUCACUGCUUUCAAAAUUGAGUAUUAGGCCCCUACAUCUCCAUGUUAUGCACAGGGCUACCUCCUUCCCUAUCAACCAUGAGUACAUGUGACAAGGAUGUACGUACCUGUAGGGUUUCUCCACAUUCUGCUCAUUGCAGUGGCUGCUGCCUGAACGGACAAGCAAUGAGGAGCAAAACAUAAUUGACCAAGAGUAAGUGAGCGGCUAGACAAAUCAUGACAACAUAUUCGUUACAUACAUUGUACUUCAAAGAAGUCAUACAUAGCAACAUGGAAUCUAAUGCUAUGUAGUACGUACCCAGCUAAUGAAACGCAACAAUGCCAAUCUAA